UAGGGAAUCUUCCACAAUGGACGCAAGUCUGAUGGAGCAACGCCGCGUGAGUGAAGAAGGUUUUCGGACCGUAAAGCUCUGUUGUUGGUGAAGAAGGAUAGAGGUAGUAACUGGCCUUUAUUUGACGGUAAUCAACCAGAAAGUCACGGCUAACUACGUGCCAGCAGCCGCGGUAAUACGUAGGUGGCAAGCGUUGUCCGGAUUUAUUGGGCGUAAAAGCGAGCGCAGGCGGAAGAAUAAGUCU
rnacentral:rRNA from 1 species